UACCUCUAUAUACUUAUACAUGAUUUCUCAGGGCUAAAUCCAAGAUGUACCACCUUCAUUGGAGGAUGGUGGGACCCACUAUUUGUUUAAAUAUUUUUCUAUACUCUUUUAUCUCGAUAAAACCCUUCCUCUCCCUCACAAUUAUAUCCUUCAAAUCUUUUUCUCUCCUUUUUUUUCUUUUUUCCUUUCAUCUCUUACUUUUAUUUAUCUUCCAAAUCAAUAGUGGCGUCGCUCUCUCUUUCUCCCCUCACCUCACCUCACCUCACCUCACCUUACCUACACAAUGAUUUUGGAUCUCUCCACCCAUAAUUUUAGGUUUUGUUUUUUCUCUCCCCUUUUCCUCUCACUCACCGCUCAAAGCCCUUCAGUCUCCAUUUACUGCUCCUUAUGCGUCCUCGAUAAGGACGAUGUAUAGUGUCAACGGCAUCUGCCCCAUUCUCAACAAUCAUGAAAUAUCUAUAUUUCUAUAUUUUCCUUUCUUCCAUAAAUUUUUAUUUUUUUCUAUUAUCUACUCGUCGUGUCGUGCGGGUUACUUCAGCAAUAAAUAAUUAUCCCUUAAAUGAGGUGUUAUUUCUUUUCAAAUCUAUUUCGAACCACUGUGGAGCAUUUUAAUUGUUCGAAAAUAACGUAUUCUACGUGAAAAAUGCGAAAGCCUUAGUUUCCUUUCUCUAAUAAUUCUAUCCUAUGUGUUGCAUCAAAAAGAAAAGAUUGAAAACCUUAUUAAGCCCUUAAUUAAGCAUUAAGCAUAAAAACAAAAAAACAUAUUAAUACAAAAGAUAUUGGAAAAGACUAUUUCAAAAGACUAUCAUGCACAAAAACUCAACUUCUUAAAAUUUCUAACCCUGCUCCGCAAAUUGGACAACAACGAAGCGCAAAUCUCAACCCAACACAGCGAUCAAGUUGGAUUCACCUCAAGUCUCCUGAACCAACAUUUUUUAUUUUUUCCAAAGAUGUCUGCAGAAUUCAAAUCAACAUCUUUUAAUUUUAAUACAAUAUAUAUUAACCAACUGCUCUAAAUAGUGAUGAUUUAUUUCUCAGUUGGAUUGAGUUCAUACUUUUCGAUUUUACUAUCCUACCGCUGAUAUUUUAUCGCACA
rnacentral:lncRNA from 1 species